rnacentral:rRNA from 1 species
GACGAACGCUGGCGGCGUGCCUAAUACAUGCAAGUCGAGCGAGGAAGAUUGGUUCUUGCCCCCAUUUGAAGAGCAUCGAACGUGUGAGUAACGCGUGGGGUAUCUCCCUUUUAGCGUGGCACAACCUUUGGAAAAGAAUGCUAAUACCGCAUAACAUCUUUAAACAUAAGUUUUAAGUUUGAAAGAUGCAAUUGCAUCACUCAAAGGUAAUCCAUCGUUGUAUUAGCUAUUUGGUGAGGUAAAGGCUCACCAAGGCGAGGAUACAUAGCCGACCGGCGAGGGGGAGAGGCAACACUGGGACGGGGACACGGCCCACACUACUGGGGGAGGCAGCAGUAGGGAAUCUUCGGCAAUGGAAGAAAGGCGGGACGAGCAACGCCGCGUGAGUGAAGAAGGUUUUCGGGUCGUAAAAAUCUGUUGGUAGAGAAGAAUGUUGGUGAGAGUGGAAAGCGCAGAAAGUGACGGUAACUGCCCAGAAAGGGACGGCUAACUACGUG